GGUGAGAUGGCCGAGUUGGUUACCCCAAGCCUUCCAGUACAUUAUAUCAUGUCUAACAUCACCCAGGCGGUCUAUGGCGCUAGCUUCAGGUGCUAGUAUCGAAAGAUGCGUGGGUUCGAAUCCCACUCUCAUCA